rnacentral:snoRNA from 1 species
AGAUGAUGAGGGCAAUUUCUGAGAAGGCCCUUGAAUCGCUCCCAAGCACAAAUUUUCUUCAGGCUUCUUAGUGAAACCCAUAAUUUCAGUUCUCAAUUU